rfam:Lingula anatina scaffold380, whole genome shotgun sequence.
ACUCUAUGAUGAAUGAAACCUAAGACAAGCAUAUGUCUGAUCUUCUAUGCUGACUUGAGUAUGAUUCUGAGAGU